AUUGAACGCUGGCGGCAUGCCUUACACAUGCAAGUCGAACGGCAGCGGACCUUCGGGUGCCGGCGAGUGGCGAACGGGUGAGUAAUAUAUCGGAACGUACCUUUCAGUGGGGGAUAACGUAGCGAAAGUUACGCUAAUACCGCAUAUUCUGUGAGCAGGAAAGCAGGGGAUCGCAAGACCUUGCGCUGAUUGAGCGGCCGAUAUCAGAUUAGCUAGUUGGUGAGGUAAAGGCUCACCAAGGCGACGAUCUGUAGCGGGUCUGAGAGGAUGAUCCACCACACUGGAACUGAGACACGGUCCAGACUCCUACGGGAGGCAGCAGUGGGGAAUUUUGGACAAUGGGCGAAAGCCUGAUGCAGCAAUGCCGCGUGUGUGAAGAAGGCCUGCGGGUUGUAAAGCACUUUCAGUAGGGAGGAAACGAGUAGCCGGUUAAU
rnacentral:rRNA from 1 species